GACGAACGCUGGCGGCGUGCCUAAUGCAUGCAAGUCGACGGUGCGGCUUCGGCCGCUCCGUGGCGCACGGCUGAGUAACACGUGGGUAUCUACCCGCCGGUGGGGGAUAACCCAGCGAAAGCUGGAAUAACCCCGCAUACGCUCCUCGGAGGAAAACCCUCGGGUGCCGGCGGAUGAGCCUGCGGCCCAUCAGGUAGUUGGCGGGGUAAUGGCCCACCAAGCCCGCGACGGGUCGCUGGUCUGUGAGGACGACCAGCCAGACUGGGACUGAGAUACGGCCCAGACUCCUACGGGAGGCAGCAGCAAGGAAUUUUCGGCAAUGGGCGCAAGCCUGACCGAGCAACGCCGCGUGCGGGAUGACGGCCUUCGGGUUGUAAACCGCUUUUGGGAGGGAAGACUUCGACGGUACCUCCCGAAUAGGCCCCGGCUAACUCUGUGCCAGCAGCCGCAGUAACAC
rnacentral:rRNA from 1 species